rnacentral:rRNA from 1 species
UACGUAGGGUGCAAGCGUUAAUCGGAAUUACUGGGCGUAAAGCGUGCGCAGGCGGUUCGCCAAGUCAGGUGUGAAAUCCCCGGGCUUAACCUGGGAAUUGCGCUUGAAACUAGCGGGCUUGAGUGUGGCAGAGGGGGGUGGAAUUCCACGUGUAGCAGUGAAGUGCGUAGAGAUGUGGAGGAACACCGAUGGCGAAGGCAGCCCCCUGGGUCAACACUGACGCUCAUGCACGAAAGCGUGGGGAGCAAACAGG